rnacentral:lncRNA from 12 species
UUUUACCCCACUCAACACCUGUCAAAGAAAGCAGCCAGGAAAACGUUCUAUCUCCAUAGCUACCCCCUUUAGUGUUUUCCCUCCCCCUCCUCCUCUCUCUUUUUUUUUUACAUCUCCAACAUUGGCCACAAAUCAGGCACAGUUUCUAUUGGGGGGACUUGAAACCGGUCGCUGGUGAUUUUUUUCCCUCUCUCGCGCUGUUCUAGGAAUGCGCUCUGCCUCCCGCCGCGUCGGGAACGGUGGGGGCCUCUUAAAGGGGAACGCACACUCUUCCAGUGUUUACUAGGACCAAGCACUGAUAUGGAAAAGACGCUCACAUUGCCUCGGGCCUUCGUGUAUGACUUUGAGGGUUUGAAAGGCCCUGUAUGACAGCGAGUUUGGCUCUUCAGUGCACUGCAGGCUGACUUUACCAGCAGGCUGGGACUGAUAAGGAAGUCGUAUAUGGUUGAAGCGGAGCUCUAGCCCAAAAACAUUCUCCACAAGCGGCGAUGGAGCUCCACUGCGCCCUCUGUGGCAGCACAUUUGAAGUGCAGACACUGCUUUGAACUGUGACACAACAUGAUUGACUUGUUAGUCACACUAUAUUUAUUUUGAGGUAUUAUGGGUAAGGACGUUACACCAGCGUCAAUUUCAGGUUAGUGAUAAGAAUCAGUGACAUGGAAUGCAAGUCAUAAAAUGAUUUCCAUAUGAACAAACAACUGUGCUUCUAUAGAAAAUUCUCCAAUUGUGUUUCAUAGACAAAAUAACACGAGGGAAGGACAUGAGGGUGAGUAAAUAAGCCCAGUAUUUUCAUUUCGCCUGAACUAUUGCUUUAAUGCUACCACGCUGAGAUUACAAACCCCCGUAAUCCCUCCCA